UCUAUGAGCUACAGGUGAGACGGGGAGUUCUAUGAGCUACAGGUGAGACGGGGAGUUCUAUGAGCUACAGGUGAGACGGGGAGUUCUAUGAGCUGCAGGUGAGACGGGGAGUUCUAUGAGCUGCAGGUGAGACGGGGAGUUCUAUGAGC